GAAUAAGAAGCGAUAAAUUGCAUUCAGUUUCGACCUGACCCUAGAUGAAUACAUCCUUAUUUAU
rnacentral:tRNA from 1 species